CCCCGGGGGCGGGUUGUGGGGCCCCGGUGUCCGGGUGGUGACGCAGCCCUGGCACAGGAGGCCUCGCGUGGUGCCGAGCGGGCGGAGGCAGCAGCGGCGGAGACAGAGGCGCUGCGUGCCAGCACCACCGCCCUCGAGCAGGUGCUGAGCAGUUCCUUAUGGCCCCAUAUGGUCCUGGGACAUGGGGGGAGCCCCACACAACCUCGUGACAUGAUGGGGAGUCACAUAUAGUCCUAUAAUGAUCUUAAGGCGGCAGCGGGGCUGCGGGAGCAGAGCGGGGCGCUGGCCCGGGAGCUGCAGGAGGCCCAGGGUGCCCGCGAGGCCCUCGAGGCCCAGCUGCAGGUGAGGGCUCCCCCGCCGGGGGGCCC
rnacentral:lncRNA from 1 species